ACUGAGUUUAUGAACUUACUGGUGGAGCAGUCUCUAGUGAUGACGGGCGACUGGGGCAUGGCCUUGAGAGUGGUACCAAAAGACUGAGAUUCUUUCUCCCUGAAAGGUCUGUGAUGGUGCCUGUGUUGAAAAUGCUUUCAUGUUAGUUGUGUACACACAUUUCAUCUGUAUCCCUGUUUCUUUUCUCCCUACAGAAACAUAUGAGGAUUUUGAUACCAGGAUACUUGAGGUUUUGCUAUUGGGAAAGCCACUGAUCGGAUGGAUGCUUUCAGGAAAGCAAAGAACAGAGCAGUUCACCAUUUGUAUUAUAUAGAACGAUAUGAAGACCAUACAAUAUUCCAUGAUAUUUCAUUAAGAUUUAAAAGGACGCAUAUCAAGAUGAAGAAACAACCCAAAGGUUACGGCCUCCGCUGCCACAGGGCCAUCAUCACCAUCUGCCGGCUCAUUGGCAUCAAAGACAUGUAUGCCAAGGUCUCUGGGUCCACUAAUAUGCUCAGCCUCACCCAGGGCCUCUUCCAUGGGCUCUCCAGACAGGAAACCCAUCAACAGCUGGCUGAUAAGAAGGGCCUCCAUGUUGUGGAAAUCCGAGAGGAAUGUGGCCCUCUGCCCAUUGUGGUUGCCUCCCCCCGGGGGGCCUUGAGGAAGGAUCCAGAGCCAGAUGAGGUUCCAGACAUCAAACUGGACUGGGAAGACGUGAAGACUGCAC
rnacentral:sRNA from 1 species